UACGUAGGCAGCAAGCGUUGUUCGGAAUUACUGGGCGUAAAGAGUGUGUAGGCGGUGCUCUAAGUUUGGUGUGAAAUCUCCCGGCUCAACCGGGAGGGUGCAUCGAAAACUGGGGUGCUCGAGGGUGGGAGAGGUAAGCGGAAUUCCUGGUGUAGCGGUGAAAUGCGUAGAUAUCAGGAGGAACACCUGUGGUGUAGACAGCUUACUGGACCACUUCUGACGCUGAGACACGAAAGCGUGGGUAGCAAACAGG
rnacentral:rRNA from 1 species